UUUCCGUAAGUGAACCUGCGGAAGGAUCAUUAUUGGAUUUUGAAACUUCAGGCUGCUGCUGGCUCUCCUCGGAGGGCAUGUGCACGCUUGUUGUCCAUUAUUUCUCCCACUGUGCACAAAUUGUAGACCUUUCAGUAGGCCUAUGUUGUUUUUCACAAUCUCUGAAUGUAAUAGAAUGGUUUUGAAUCUUGGGAAAUACAAUACAACUUUCAGCAACGGAUCUCUUGGCUCUC
rnacentral:misc_RNA from 1 species